GGCCGGUUAGCUCAGUCAGUUGAGUGUAGUGCUAACAACGCUAAGACCAUGGGUUCGAUUCCCGUUCGGGCCA
rnacentral:tRNA from 1 species